rnacentral:misc_RNA from 1 species
CGCACAUUGCGCCCCUUAGUAUUCUGAGGGGCAUGCCUGUCCGAGCGUCAUAUGCACCCCUUAAGCACCGCUUAGUAUUGGGCCAUGCUGGUAAUAGCAGGCCUCAAAUCUAGAGGCGGUCUCCGCCUAGGUCCCAAGUGUAGUAGUACCCUCUCCCUCACUACGGGCCUAGGUGUAUGAUCGCUAUAAACCCCCAACUUCUGAAUGUUGACCUCGGAUCAGGUAGGAAUACCCGCUGAACUUAA